AUUGAACGCUGGCGGCAUGCCUUACACAUGCAAGUCGAACGGCAGCACGGGGCGAACCUGGUGGCGAGUGGCGAACGGGUGAGUAAUGCAUCGGAACGUGCCAUUGAGUGGGGGAUAACGUAGCGAAAGUUGCGCUAAUACCGCAUAUUCUGUGAGCAGGAAAGCAGGGGACCGCAAGGCCUUGCGCUCUUUGAGCGGCCGAUGUCAGAUUAGCUAGUUGGUGAGGUAACGGCUUACCAAGGCGACGAUCUGUAGCGGGUCUGAGAGGAUGAUCCGCCACACUGGAACUGAGACACGGUCCAGACUCCUACGGAGGCAGCAGUGGGGAAUUUUGGACAAUGGGCGCAAGCCUGAUCCAGCCAUGCCGCGUGAGUG
rnacentral:rRNA from 1 species